CGGGGAGGGGCACGCGUGACUGAUUGCCAAAUAGCUUUCUCGGCGCUUCAUCCAUAUCACCGGGAGGAAAACAAUGGCGCUUGCCGUCACUCCCUUGCCCCACCUCCCGAUCUCUCCCCCUCCCAACCGCCGUCGACACCAACAGUGGCCCCUCUCCUGUCGUGUAACUCCAUCAUCUCCGCGGCAAUCCCUCUCAGCAACGCCGUCCACCUUCGCCCUCAGCGCAGUAGGCAACCGUGCCUCGCUGCCGCCGCCGCGACAACGGCUUCAACCGCCGGUGGAUGAGAUUGAGGGCCGGGUAGCUGCCACCUCCGCUACCGGCCUUGAAGAGGAGGUCAGCGAGGGAGCCGUUGCUCAUGUAUUCGUAGUCUCGUAGACGAGGAUGCCGUCGAUGUUCCCGUCGACGAAUGCCGGAUUCUAGUAGGCAAUGGCGCGCUCCGCAGCCUCGCCGUCAAUUGCAGCCUCCUCGAUGACUCCGCCGUGCCGGCCGUCGUGAAGAGAAGCCUUCUCGAGCUCUCGCUGCUGAAGUGCUCGUCCUUCUCCUGGUACCUCUUUGUGGCAGUUGGUGAGAUCGAGAUGCAAAAUUUUAAGGUGUGGUUUCUUCAGCAUUGGCUUUGUACGAGCACGAUUGCACGAAAGUGUAUUCUAUCAGGGAAUCGAAUUGAUGAAUUGUUGCAUGA